UAUCUGUAAAUUUUAUAUUUUGCACUUACUUUGUAGUAAUAGAGUGUGUUGUCUGAAACAAGUUUGUAUGAAUAAAGUUUUUGUUUUUGGAGAAUCAUAAU